UACGUAGGGGGCUAGCGUUGUCCGGAAUCAUUGGGCGUAAAGAGCGUGUAGGCGGUCCGGUAAGUCCGCUGUGAAAGUCGGGGGCUCAACCCUCGAAUGCCGGUGGAAACUGUCGGGCUAGAGUGCGGAAGAGGCGAGUGGAAUUCCUGGUGUAGCGGUGAAAUGCGCAGAUAUCAGGAGGAACACCCAUUGCGAAGGCAGCUCGCUGGGACGUAACUGACGCUGAGACGCGAAAGCGUGGGGAGCAAACAGG
rnacentral:rRNA from 1 species